AUUCACUCAAGUGAGAAGAAAAAAAAAAAAGAAAGAAAGAAAAGAAGGAAGGACACCAAAUGGUUCUUUUCAACAAACUAGUCAUCCUGGCAACUCUGCAGGACUCAAAAGGAGAAUGUACUUUACAUCUCCUUUUCCCUAGAAAGGCUCCACAUUAUCAAACACUCUCCUUAUGUGGUGUCAUCAUGGCUCACUCACUGCGGUCUCAAACUUCUUGCCUCAAGUGAUGGACCUGAACUCAACUCAAGUGAUCCUCCUGCUUCAGCCUCCCAAAAAUGCUAAGAUUACAGCCAUAAGCCACCAUGACCAGUCCCUUUUCUUUUUUUUUAACCUUUUUAAAAUGCUCAUUUCUUUGUUCUCAUUGAAUCCUAAAGAUGGAUGUAAGUUAUGAUAAACUGCAUUGCUAUUCAUGUGAUCCUUUCCUUUCUACUGUCUCCUCAUCUCUUCAGAAAGGCAGCAUUUUUUUUGAGUUUAUAAUGAUAUUGAUAGCCAGUUUAAGUGCAACCGUCAGGAAGCAAUAUAAAAUCAAUUUAAAAUCAGUAGGUUUUAGGAAUCAUUUCUUAAAAUGGAGAUUUUUAAAAGAAUGUACAUGUAUGGAAAGAAUGAACUUAGAAUAUUUGCAAAUAGUAAUUAUAUUGACAUAGUAAGAAGGUGUAGUAGAGUAUAAAACUAUGGAUGCUAACAUAAUUAGAAUAAAACUGAUCACAUAAUUUUUUGAAACAGGUAUAUCUGUUCUUAAAUGUGAUGCUCACUUAUCAAAAGAGAAAAAUAUUUUCAACUCUUGUCAGCAGAAACUAAUUGUUGGCAUAUUUAAGGUAAAACACAUGGAUCCAAAAGCACAAUUACAAACUUUUCUGCAUUAUGAAAAAAUAAUAAAACUGGCUUCUCAAACACCAAUUUUUUAUUAAAAUCAAAAUUUCAAGCCAAUCAUCAAAAAAACAUGUUUUGUC
rnacentral:lncRNA from 10 species